AACGCAGUCUGCUGUUGCAUGAUAGACGAACGAAUCACUCUUAGUAAAAAGGAGUUAAGUUAAAGGUCUGGUUUCGAUUUUGAGGGUGAAGGCCAUAUCAGGGUGGCCAAAUUGUGAGUGUUGCCAAGACAAUACAAGUCUUAGCUAUCAGAUGCUAUUAAAGAAGUAAAAGCAGUAAAAUCUCAGUCUCUGGUUAAAGCAUGGAGUUGUGUGUCAACAAUUGCAAUGUCAAUGGGUUUCCAAAUUUGAUGAUAUUUGUGCUCUUCACUUCUCUUCUUCACUUCUGGCUGAAAUGUCUUCCCGAGUAAGCAAUAAUGAAGUUCAGGAACUGUUCUGCCAUAACAGAAACUGAAUUUCUAUAAAUGAAUUCAAAAUGAUUGAAAUUCAAAUCAAAGCUACUAUCCUCCGGGAUGCUGCCAAGCAAGAAGGUCAACAUAAUUUGAAA